UACAGAGACUGCGAGCGUUAUUCGGAUUCACUGGGCGUAAAGGGUGCGCAGGCGGCCGUGUGUGUGAGGCGUGAAAGCCCGGGGCUUAACCCCGGAAUUGCACCUCAAACUACACGGCUAGAGCAUUGGAGAGGGUAGCGGAAUUCACGGUGUAGCAGUGAAAUGCGUAGAUAUCGUGAGGAACACCAGUGGCGAAGGCGGCCUUCUGGACCAAUACUGACGCUCAUGCACGAAAGCGUGGGGAGCAAACAGG
rnacentral:rRNA from 1 species